CUACGGGUUGCUGCAGUGGGGAAUCUUAGACAAUGGGCGCAAGCCUGAUCUAGCCAUGCCGCGUGAGUGAUGAAGGCCUUAGGGUCGUAAAGCUCUUUCGCUGGGGAAGAUAAUGACGGUACCCAGUAAAGAAACCCCGGCUAACUCCGUGCCAGCAGCCGCGGUAAUACGGCGGGGGUUAGCGUUGUUCGGAAUUACUGGGCGAAAGCGCGCGUAGGAGGACUGUUAAGUCGGGGGUGACAUCCCGGGGCUCAACCCCGGAACGGCCUUCGAUACUGGCAGUCUGGAGUUCGAGAGGGGUGAGUGGAAUUCCGAGUGUAGAGGUGAAAUUCGUAGAUAUUCGGAGGAACACCAGUGGCGAAGGCGGCUCACUGGCUCGAUACUGACGCUGAGGUGCGAAAGUGUGGGGAGCAAACAGGAUUAGAUACCCGCGUAGUC
rnacentral:rRNA from 1 species